CUGGACUGGAGCUAAUAUUUUUCCACCCACCUGCCGUCGGGAGGGGGAGGCCUUCAAUAUUUAAACACCUCCCCGCAGCCGCCCCCCCCCCGGAUCCCUUUUCCCUCCCGCCGUCGAGGAACCGGAUCCGGCAGCGGCUCAGGUGUCCGGUGGCUUUUGCCGCCUGCGAGGUGUCCGGUUAGCGACAGCAGGUAAGUGGACCCGGGGCUGCGCGAAGGGGGGGGGCCUCCGUGGGCUGCGGGGCGUCCCAUAAAUUCCCUCCGGCGCUAGCUCGGAGAAGUCCUGGCCCCGGCCCAGGCCCGGGCGCCCGUCGCCCCGUCCAGCAGCCGCGUCCCCCGGCAGCGACCGGCAGCCCCNACGACGUGCAUCCGAGGCCUCAAGCCCGCCCCGACGCGAGCAGGUAGGCGCGGGUGCUCCCGGCCGCAAUCGGGGGACUCGGGGCGGCGGGACAAGAAGUGGCUUGCAGCAAGGGGCAGAGGGCUGGGGGGGGCAGGAGCCAGCAAGGUCCCAGAGCGCCCCUCGGGGACUGAAGAGGCGGAGAGGGCGCAGGUGAGUGGAGCCGUCGCGCUUGCGGGAGACCAGCCCCGGUCCAGGCGGAGGGGACGCGCCGAGCGAGCUCCUCGGGGCCAGAGGCCCUUGUGCCCGUCUGGACGGGGUCCGUGUCAGGAGGAAAGGGGUGACCCCGCAGACACGGGUCCUGCAAGCUCCCGAGAGCACNUCGGACGCCCCGCGGGUUCUGGGGUGUCCGAACGUCCGUGCGGAGGCGGCUCUGAGGCUCCGCUCCGUCGGAUCUUCCCUUCUCCUGCGCGCCUUGAGCUUUCAAGAAGUCUGGGCGGUUCCUCCGCGUCCGGGACUUGUCGUCGGGGCGCUUUGCACACGAUGUACACACACCCUCAGCUAGACCAAGACCCGCCAGUAGGGACCCCGGACAUGCCUGGACACAAGGAGGGGGGCGGAAGAGGGGCCACUCGCGUGUUCAGCUGGGCGUCUGAAAAAGACCAAGCGGGCGCCUAAGAGAGGAGAAACCCGUCCGGCCAGGGACACGAUCUACCUCAGAGGGCCCAAUCUUAAUCCAGCUUCAGUCCAGUUCGAAUCGUUU
rnacentral:lncRNA from 1 species